UACGGAGGGUGCGAGCGUUGUCCGGAAUCAUUGGGCGUAAAGAGCGUGUAGGCGGCCAGGUAGGUCGGUUGUGAAAACUGGAGGCUCAACCUUCAGAGGUCGACCGAAACCAUCUGGCUAGAGUCCGGGAGAGGAGAGUGGAAUUCCUGGUGUAGCGGUGAAAUGCGCAGAUAUCAGGAGGAACACCAAUAGCGAAGGCAGCUCGCUGGGACGGUACUGACGCUAAGGCGCGAAAGCGUGGGGAGCGAACAGG
rnacentral:rRNA from 1 species